AACGAACGCUGGCGGCGCGCCUAAUACAUGCAAGUCGAGCGAGAAGGUGUAGCAAUACACUUGUAAAGCGGCGAACGGGUGAGGAAUACAUGGGUAACCUACCCUCGAGUGGGGAAUAACUAGCCGAAAGGUUAGCUAAUACCGCAUACGAUUCCAAGACUUCGGUUUUGGAAGGAAAGCACUACCGUGGGUAGUGCGCUCCUGGAUGGGCUCAUGUCCUAUCAGCUUGUUGGNGAGGUAAUGGCUCACCCAAGGCUUCGACGGGUAGCUGGUCUGAGAGGACGAUCAGCCACACUGGCACUGCGACACGGGGCCAGACUCCUACGGGAGGCAGCAGUAAGGAAUAUUGCGCAAUGGGCGACAGCCUGACGCAGCGACGCCGCGUGGGGGAUGAAGGUCUUCGGAUUGUAAACCCCUUUCGGGAGGGAAGAGGGAAGUGGGCAACCCAUUCGGACGGUACCUCCAGAAGCAGCCACGGCUAACUUCGUGCCAGC
rnacentral:rRNA from 1 species